rnacentral:lncRNA from 1 species
UAGCCAUUCAGAUUCUUGCUGUGUAUGUUGGCUUUAAUAGGUUCAGGUUUGCUAUUUGGAGUAAGAUACACUUAGAAAAAAUCUAUCGAUCUUGGUAGAAAAGAAGAAGUCCUAUGCGAUUUACAAGAUUGAGUUCAGAAAGUCUCUGGCCAAAAUAAGUGUGAAUACAGAAAAAGAGUUUCUAUGAGAUUCAUAAAUGAACUCGAGUUAAGCCAAUCUAGC